GUGAAAAAGGUGGAACAUCCAGUCUGUCGCUGUCAACAUGUAAACUCUGUUUUCUCCGUGUUCGGUCCAGAAGUGAUGUGUGUUCUCUCUGUGUUCCACUCUCUCACACUCAAAACAGCAAGCAAAUGUCCAGGCAGCAGGAAAGAUCUCCGUCUGAACUCCCUUCAAAGUUUUGAACACACACAAAACUUUCUGACAAACUUUCAUCAGAUACAGAACAGCAGCUG